rnacentral:lncRNA from 1 species
CUUUUUUUUUUUUUUUUUGGUUUUGUUUUUUUUUUUUUUUUAGUUUUGAUUUUGUUUUAAUUGCAGUGUGGUAAUUUCUUAUAUAUUUUGGGUUUUUACCCUUAUUCAGAAGCAAUAUCUGCAAGUAUUUCCUCCCACCCUAUAGAUUGCCUUUUCAUUCUGUCAAUUGUUUUUAAGGAGACUAUACAUUUUUAGCUGGGGAAACUUUGAACCUUGGAGAGAUUUAGGUCCUUUUCUUAUGGUUGAUUGGUCUGUCUUCCUGUUUAGAUGCCAGUGGUAGACUUUUUUGCUGCCAUGGCUUUGCAGUGUGUUUUGAAUCCGGGGAUUGGGACAUAUCCAUUGUUGUUCUUUGCUGUCAAUGAGUUUUUUUAAUUUGGGUUCUUUGGGGUUCUACUUGUAUUUUAGGAUUUUCUUUUCCAAGUCUCAAAAAAUGGCAUGAGGUUUUGUGAGUUGUUGCAGUAUAUGUGUACUUCAUUUUCAGUAGCAGAGAAAUGUCAACAAGAUUACACCAUCCAUCUAGGAACAUGGUGUGUCAUUCCAAGCACUUGCACCUUCUUUAGUUUCUUUCAGCCAUGAUUUGUAGUUUUCAGUGUACAAAUCGUUCACCCUGUAAAGGGGUGCCACUGCCUUCCUUGGAUCUUUGGUCUUCCAGGCUCAGUGUUGAGAAGGAUGGACUCAUGAAAAGAGUGACGCAUCCCUCCCUCCCCUCUGCCCCUUCUCUCCGGUUAUGUCCAGCACCAGGCUGCAGCAGGAUCUUGAGGAUCAGAGGCCUUCUCCACUGUAGAUGUGAACCAGCUGAGGCCCUGGGAGGUCCGUGGAGGUGAGGACAGAAAGGGGCCUGAGACUGAGCUCCCUGCAGCAUCAUAGUCCUGAUGUUCCAUCUUGCUUCUCAAUCACCCCUUUCCUUUCCCAUGGCCUCCCCGACCUGGUGGCUUCCCCUGGACACAGAACGUUACAUGGCAGAUAACGAGAAUUCUGACAAGGACAGUAGCAGUAAGCUAGUAAUCUAUUUCCUCUUUCAUGUCCUUUUGUUUUCCUCUCUUUGUGUCACCCACAGACUCUUCCUUUGUAAGUCUUUCCCACCUCCUCUCUCCAACCUUUUAUGAUACUUAUCAUGAUGGAUUUGGUCUCAGGUGGACACUGGGAGUCCUGCGAUAAAAUGGACACCAUCUCUGCAGCUUUCCUCCCACUUCCUUAGCAUCUUGCCAGCAUCCAUCCUCAGCUCUGCACCUUUGAGUCCAGCUGAGCUGUCCUGAGGGGUCUGAGCAGGAGAUGGGAGUAGAGUGAGCUGCUCUUGACCUGCCCAGCUAGAGGGGCCACAAUAAAUCCCCCCUGCCCUGGGUGCCCCCCUGACCAGGGUGUUUUCCUGCCCCAGGUGGCUGUGGGCCAGCAUGACUGUUCUUUUCUUUCCAGAAGUCAAGACAGUUCUAGCUUACAACUUUUCUGUGAAGACAGAAAACAAAUAUUCAUACAAAGAAGAAAAAGAUUUCUCUAGAGUUUGGCGGAAAGAGUCUUUUCCCCACUAAAAUAUCUAAGAUUUAAUCCCCAAUUAUAAUAAAACUCUAAAUCAGUGUUCAGUCUCUGACUCAGUUUCCUCUUUGAAGAAUAAAUAAUUUGCAUGGUUGAUGUCAAGGAAAUUUUAUUUGCUCAGAUAUAACCAUUGAUUUGCAAUCUUCUUGACAACUAUCUGUAUUGUUAGCUUGCUACCCAAGCUGAUGUGGACAUUAUAUUUUCAAAGAAGAAAUACAAAAUAUACACAAAAUGUACAUAGAUAAAAAAAUUGUGAGUAAUUUUUAGACUGUAUUUAGUAAAGCCUUCAAAUUUUCCUCUCAGUGAUUGACUAAAACUACUGUUAAAGCUGUAUGUGUGAUGAUUUUAGUACUGACUGAGAUGACUACCUCCUUAAUGUAAGGUUACACUAAGUUCUUCUGGGAGGGGCGAUGUGUAUGUGUGAGUGUAAAGAUGCUCUACCUAUCUGGAAUGGGUUAUAACCAUGAAUGCAGAGACAUUCUUUAAGGGUGUUGUUUGGCCUGUGAUCUAAUGCCUUUUUGAGAAAGGUAUCCAUUGAUAUAUUAAAAGUCAUAGCUCUGUUGAUGUAUGUCUUGCCACCAACGUUUGGCAUCUUGGCAGCACUUCUCCACUUCUCGGUGGGCAUUAGGGGUGAGCAGCCUGCUUUGCCUGGAUCUUGCUCUCAUCAGUUGUGGCAGGGCCUCAUUUCUGUCUCUCAUGGUUAGUUAUACUUCACUCUGCCCUGUGAUUCCCACAGUCCUCAAUGUCUUCACUACUGACGUACUUGGCAUAUGACUUUUAACCUUUCCCUCUACUCUUUUAGCAAAAAGGCAUGGGCCACUUGUCCUCAGGGCUGAGUUUUAACAUCUGUCCUGAAGGACU